ensembl:lncRNA
GGAACAGCUUGGGUAAACCAACACAGCCCAGGUCUUCAUAGCCGACCUAGCUCUCAAACGUCUCCUGACCCCGUUUCCUCCAACACACUCCGGUUUCCUUCCCCUCGGUUUCGUUUACUUACUCACCGUCUUCCCUUUAGCUAACGCGUGGGAUGAGCCAUGGAUCACACCGCGCCCACCCGGUGUCCAGAAGUCCAAAGAUCAGCCCGGUGCCGUCCAGGACACCCCCUGGGCCAGCGGGCACCGUAGCCGUGAGCUACGUCCUCAGGUGGAGCCGCGACGGAGGAGGGAGACGGGGAGGCACGAAAGUGUGAUGGCCACCAAGACAAGUUUCAAUUUACACAGCCGUCCGUUAGCUUGGACGUCUUCCUCCACCAAGGCGAUAACCCACUGCUGCACGUGCCACCAUCGUGACCGGAUCUCUGUGGAAACACCUCCUCCUAGGGGCCGUGGACCGGAGCUCUCCGGUGGGACCAGAGCUCUCCGGAUCUCGGUUCCGAAACUCUGCUGAGAAGCUCGGGAUAUCGACCAUACUAAACCCGACAUUGUGACUGCCUCUUAAUAAUGAGAAGUAAAAAAAAAAAAACUCAAACACGAAUUGGUCUUGUCCAAUUUAAAUUGUCUAAGUUCUCAACGGUUAUUUAAAAAAAAAAUAACGACCGCAACAUAACGUUAUGACAGCCUCUUUGGGAGUCUUAAUCACAUAUUACUCAGUUAAUCACCUCCCACACAGCAAGGUCCAUAAACAUUGUCUUGGACCACCUGAUAUCCUGGACAUUUGCCAAUGUUUCUUUUAUUUCUUUUAUCUUUAUUUAUUACAUAUUUCUUUAUUUAUCACAUAGUCCUAUUUCUUGGCCUCCACUUGACAACAUUCCAGCUGUUUUACCCCCGCUCAGCCGUCAAAUAAUAGACGGGCACACUCCUCAGCCAAUGGCGGAGCGCUGCCCGGUGUCUGCUCGCU